ACAUGCCUACAACAUAGCAUUAAUGCACUGAAUCCCAUUAGAACUUCACAGUUAAGUGCACUCGAGAUAGAGUAGUAUUGGGAUGGGUGAUCACCCAAGAAGUCCUAGUGUUUACAUGCC
rnacentral:rRNA from 1 species